GCCGGGCGUGGUGGUGCGCGCCUGUAAUCCCAGCUACUUGAGAGGCUGAGGCAGGAGAAUCACUUGAACUCAGGAGGCAGAGGUUGCAGUGAGCCGAGAUCGCACCACUGCACCCCAGCCUGGGUGACAGAGUGAGACUCUGUCUCAA
rnacentral:sRNA from 1 species